ensembl:lncRNA
CUCCGUUGUCAGGACUGUCUCUCUCUCUCUCUGUUGUCAGGACUGUCUCUCUCUCUCUCCGUUGUCAGGACUGUCUCUCUCUCUCUCCGUUGUCAGGACUGUCUCUCUCUCUCUCUCUCUCUCGCUCCGUUGUCAGGACUGUCUCUCUCUCUCUCUCUCUCUCUCGCUCCGUUGUCAGGACUCUCUCUCUCUCUCUCUCUCCGUUGUCAGGACUGUCUCUCUCUCUCUCUCUCUCUCUCUCUCCGUUGUCAGGACUGUCUCUCUCUCUCUCUCUCUCUCUCUCUGUUGUCAGGACUGUCUCUCUCUCUCUCUCUCUCUCUCUCUCUCUCUCUCUCUCUCUGUUGUCAGGACUGUCCCUCUCUCUCUCUCUCUCUCUCUGUUGUCAGGACUGUCUCUCUCUCUCUCUCUCUCUCUCUGUUGUCAGGACUGUCUCUCUCUCUCUCUCUCUCUCUCUCUCUCUCUCUGACUGUCUCUCUCUCUCUCUCUCUCUCUGUUGUCAGGACUGUCCCUCUCUCUCUCUCUCUCUCUCUCUCUGUUGUCAGGACUGUCUCUCUCUCUCUCUCUCUCUCUCUCUCUCUCUCUCUCUGUUGUCAGGACUGACUCUCUCUCUCUCUCUCUGUUGUCAGGACUGUCUCUCUCUCUCUCUCUCUCUCCGUUGUCAGGACUCUCUCUCUCUCUCUCCGUUGUCAGGACUGUCUCUCUCUCUCUCCGUUGUCAGGACUGUCUCUCUCUCUCUCCGUUGUCAGGACUGUCUCUCUCUCUCGCUCCGUUGUCAGGACUGUCUCUCUCUCUCUCUCUCUCUCUCUCUCUCUCUCCUUUGUCUC